GACGAACGCUGGCGGCGUGCUUAACACAUGCAAGUCGAACGGAAAGGCCCUGCUUUUGUGGGGUGCUCGAGUGGCGAACGGGUGAGUAACACGUGAGUAACCUGCCCUUGACUUUGGGAUAACUUCAGGAAACUGGGGCUAAUACCGGAUAGGAGCUCCUGCUGCAUGGUGGGGGUUGGAAAGUUUCGGCGGUUGGGGAUGGACUCGCGGCUUAUCAGCUUGUUGGUGGGGUAGUGGCUUACCAAGGCUGUGAGGGGUAGCCGGCCUGAGAGGGUGACCGGCCACAAUGGGACUGAGAGACGGCCCAGACUCCUACGGGAGGCAGCGGGGGGGAAUAUUGCAGAAUGGGCGGAAGCCUGAUGCAGCAACGCCGCGUGCGGGAUAACGGGCUUCGGGGUGUAAACCGCUUUCGCCGGUGACGAAGCGUGAGUGACGGUAAUGGGUAAAGAAGCACCGGCUAACUACGUG
rnacentral:rRNA from 1 species